UACGUAGGGCGCAAGCGUUGUCCGGAAUUAUUGGGCGUAAAGAGCUCGUAGGCGGUUUGUCGCGUCUGGUGUGAAAACUCGAGGCUCAACCUCGAGCUUGCAUCGGGUACGGGCAGACUAGAGUGCGGUAGGGGGAGACUGGAAUUCCUGGUGUAGCGGUGGAAUGCGCAGAUAUCAGGAGGAACACCGAUGGCGAAGGCAGGUCUCUGGGCCGCAACUGACGCUGAGGAGCGAAAGCAUGGGGAGCGAACAGG
rnacentral:rRNA from 1 species